GUGAAUCAUCAAAUCUUUGAACGCAAAUUGCACUCUCUUCGGAGAGUAUGCCUGUUUGAGGGUCAGCCUAAAAAAAAAAAUCGACAUAGUCGCUGUUUCGCGGUGACAUUCGUCGGAAAUUGUGUCAUCUUAAACCUUUGGGUUUUAAGCGGCUUAAAAUUUUCUUUACGAUUCCACGCACGUUUCUAAGAUUUUCUUCUUACCCGUUUAAG
rnacentral:misc_RNA from 1 species